UCACUCUAUUCAGGAUAUUCCCAUGGAUUGGUUUCUUUGGCUCUAAUCUAUGGUGCCCUCAUCUAGGGGAGUAGGAACUUUUUUUUUUUUUUGUCAUCUAGACUAUGAACACCACUCCCUUUGGUUGAUCUUCUUCGUCUUCUUCUUCUUCUUCUUUUCUUAUUCAUAAACUGUGUUAUUGAGUUAUACUUGUGAAUGUGUCUUGCCAUCUUGGCAUCUUAUCUUAGGGUGUGGAAAAAUGUCCUCCGGAAAGGAGACUGUGCGAUCGAUGCUACGUGCGGUAAUGGCCAUGAUACGCUGGCCUUGCUCAGAAUGGUGGCCGAUGACUCGGGCAGCGGGUUCAUCUAUGGGUUUGAUAUUCAGAGCUCAGCGUUAGAGAACACGCGCUCCUUGUUGGAGGCCUCUGUCGACCCAGACCAGGUGCUCUCUCUCUCUCUCUUUAAUAAAUUCAUGGAGGUGGAAUGGAAGUCACACAUCCUCCAUUCGAUUGAUUAAUAUUUUGAGUCGUGAACAAGCCUGAUCGGAUCUGAAUAUGAUCCUACAUCACUAAUUGUUGCAUUUCACUGCUCUCCCACAGAGGAGACUUGUCAGGCUCUCCCUGGUUUGUCACAGUAAGAUGGAGGACGUCCUCCCAGAGGGCACCAUUGUCAGGUGCUCAGGACCUCUGUGACUCAUGAAUGCUACUUAUUUUGAUGCCCAAUUUCGAGUUUCUAUGGCAAAAAAGUCAACGUCUGCUGGUUCUAUUUUAUUUUCUUAUCGAAGGUCGCCAUGCCCAUGCAGGCUUGUGGCGUUCAACCUGGGUUACCUCCCCGGGGGAGAUAAAGGCAUAAUAACUGUCGCCGGGACGACUCGCCCGGCACUGGAGGCAGCCAGCAGAGUUGUUGCUUCUGGGGGCCUUAUAAGCGUUCUGGUUUACGUCGGCCAUCCUGGCGGAAGGUGAGCCUUCUCAACCCCACGGUUCUUCAUUCUCCCUGCUCUGGGUAGACCGCCUCCUCCGUGGUCCUGGCCGGCCAUAAUUUUCUAGACCAUUAUUUUCAUAAAUCCCUUUGAUUUUAUUCAUUUAUUUACCAGAAUCAAUCUUGUUCUAGACCAUUGUCUCGAUAAAUCCCUUUACUUUUAUUUCUUUAUUUUCUAGAAACAAUCUCGUUCUAGACCAUUAUGUUGAAAUUUCCGUUUAAAUUUAUUUACUUAUUUUCUAGAAUCGAUCUUGUACAUGACCAUUAUUUUUUUAAUAAAUCCCUUUAAUUUUAUUUACUUAUUUUCUAGAAUCGAUCUUGUGCGUGACCAUUAUUUUUUUAAUAAAUCUCUUUAAUUUUAUUUAUUUAUUGUUGCUAGACUCAAUCUUGUUCUAGACCAUUAUUUUAAAAAGCACCUUUAAUUUUAUUAUUCAUUGCCAGAAUCAAUCUUGUUCUCGGGUCAUUUAUUUCUAUCAUCGUAGACUUAUCAGGACGGCGUAUUUAUUUGCCCUCAUAGGGAGGAACUCGAGACCGUACAAUCGUUUGCCUCCAGCCUGCCCGCCGAGUCCUGGUCCUGCUGCAAGCUGGAGAGGCUCAACCGGCCCUCAGCUCCUGUUCUUGUUCUCCUCUUCAAGAAGUAGGCCCGCCCUCAAGCAACCCCCGCCAAGAGAUAAGAUCAUUGCAUCUCUCGUGUACUACAUUGUACUACAUACAGAUGAUGACGAUGAUGAUGAUGAAGACGAAGAUGUUCACAGCUUUCUGGAGACGCCAGGUUCCAAAAAAAGAAAGAAAAAGAAAGGAACCCGGCAAGAUGGAUCAA
rnacentral:lncRNA from 1 species